AGGAUAAACGCUGGCGGCGUGCCUAACACAUGCAAGUCGAACGUCCUACGCAAGUAGGGAGUGGCGGACGGGUGAGUAACACGUGGGCAAUCUACCUUUCGGUGAGGAAUACCGGCGAGAAAUCGCCGACAAUACCGCAUACGCUUCGCAAGAAGCAAAGUCGCAAGACGCCGGAGGAGGAGCCUGCGCCCGAUUAGCUGGUUGGUGAGGUAAGAGCUCACCAAGGCUUCGAUGGGUAGCUGGUCUGAGAGGACGAUCAGCCACACUGGGACUGAGACACGGCCCAGACUCCUACGGGAGGCAGCAGUGGGGAAUCUUGCGCAAUGCGCGAAAGCGUGACGCAGCAACGCCGCGUGGGGGAAGAAGGCCUUCGGGUGUAAACCCCUUCAGUUGGACGAGCUUCGUCGGUGAAUAGCCGGCUGGAGUGACGGUACCUUCAGAAGAAGCCCGGCUAACUACGUGCCAGCAGCCGAC
rnacentral:rRNA from 1 species